AACGAACGCUGGCGGCAUGCCUAACACAUGCAAGUCGAACGAGAACUUCGGGUCUAGUGGCGCACGGGUGCGUAACGCGUGGGAACCUGCCUUUAGGUUCGGAAUAACCCAGAGAAAUUUGAGAUAAUACCGGAUGAUGACUUCGGACCAAAGAUUUAUCGCCUUUAGAUGGGCCCGCGUUGGAUUUGCUAGGUGGUCGGGUAAAGGCCUACCAAGGCGACGAUCCAUAGCUGGUCUGAGAGGAUGAUCAGCCACACUGGGACUGAGACACGGCCCAGACUCCUGCGGGAGGCAGCAGUGGGGAAUAUUGGACAGUGGGCGAAAGGCUGAUCCAGCAAUGCCGCGUGAGUGAUGAAGGCCUUAGGGUUGUAAAGCUCUUUUACCCGAGAUGAUAAUGACAGUAUCGGGAGAAUAAGCUCCGGCUAACUCCGUG
rnacentral:rRNA from 1 species